rnacentral:rRNA from 1 species
GGGUGGUCAUUGCGCCGGGGUUCCACCUCUUCCCAUUCCGAACAGAGAAGUUAAGCCCGGUUGCGCCGAUGGU